GCAUGUAUCCUUUGAAGCACUGCAACAACAACAAAAAGCUUUUGGACUUACAGAAGCAACUUGGUUAAGUUUUUUGCGGACAUUCUACAGCAGAUCGCACAGGGUACCUUCCCACUUGUUGAAUUCCAGCUCUUUUUUGUUCAGAAUCUUGUCAGCAAUCUGAAAUAAAUAGAGAACACGAUUACAAUAUUUAUCAAUGGAGGAGCAGGUAACUCUCGCUCACACCACAAGCACAGAUUAUAGUCUCCGAUGAUGCCAGCCUGAUUUGCUUUGGAUAAGCAAAGAUAAGGAUUCAUGCUCCACAACGAAAUGGCCAGCAAUAGAAUGAAUGUACAAGUAUUUGAAUAGCAGAAGAACGAGAUGAAACAGACUGCAUACAGUAAGUCAGUAAUAAC
rnacentral:lncRNA from 1 species